rnacentral:rRNA from 1 species
CGGUGUUUAACUGGCGUGAUGUGGGACGUCCUACCGGUGGGCUUAGCCUCGCGAGGGGCGGCCCAACUAAUAUCCCGUCGCGGUGCUCUUUACUGAGUGUCGAGUCGGGCCGGUACGUUUACUUUGAACAAAUUAGAGUGCUUAAAGCAGGCUAUCCUCGCCUGAAUACUGCGUGCAUGGAAUAAUGGAAUAGGACCUCGGUUCUAUUUUGUUGGUUUUCGGAACCCCGAGGUAAUGAUUAAUAGGGACAGAUGGGGGCAUUCGUAUUGCGACGUUAGAGGUGAAAUUCUUGGAUCGUCGCAAGACGGACAGAAGCGAAAGCAUUUGCCAAAAAUGUUUUCAUUAAUCAAGAACGAAAGUUAGAGGUUCGAAGGCGAUCAGAUACCGCCCUAGUUCUAACCAUAAACGAUGCCAGCUAGCGAUCCGCCGAAGUUCCUCCGAUGACUCGGCGGGCAGCUUCCGGGAAACCAAAGCUUUUGGGUUCCGGGGGAAGUAUGGUUGCAAAGCUGAAACUUAAAGGAAUUGACGGAAGGGCACCACCAGGAGUGGAGCCUGCGGCUUAAUUUGACUCAACACGGGAAACCUCACCAGGCCCAGACACCGGAAGGAUUGACAGAUUGAUAGAUCUUUCUUGAUUCGGUGGGUGGUGGGGCAUGGCCGUUUUUAGUUGGUGGAGAGAUUUGUCUGGUUAAUUCUGAUAACGAACGAGACUCUAGCCUGCUAAAUAGGCGUACCUUAUGGUAUCGCGAAGGCCCCCGGCUUCGGCCGGCGGGUUUUUACUACCAACGUACAAACAAAUCUAUUAGAGGGACAGGCGG